rnacentral:rRNA from 1 species
GACGUAGGGCGCGAGCGUUGUCCGGAUUUAUUGGGCGUAAAGAGCUCGUAGGCGGUCUGUCGCGUCUGCUGUGAAAACUCAGGGCUUAACCCUGAGCUUGCAGUGGGUACGGGCAGACUAGAGUGCGGUAGGGGAGACUGGAAUUCCUGGUGUAGCGGUGAAAUGCGCAGAUAUCAGGAGGAACACCGGGUGGCGAAGGCGGGUCUCUGGGCCGUAAACUGACGCUGGAGGAG